rnacentral:rRNA from 1 species
GGGUUGUGAGGUUAAGCGACUAAGCGUACACGGUGGAUGCCCUGGCAGUCAGAGGCGAUGAAGGACGUGCUAAUCUGCGAUAAGCGUCGGUAAGGUGAUAUGAACCGUUAUAACCGGCGAUUUCCGAAUGGGGAAACCCAGUGUGAUUCGUCACACUAUCAUUAACUGAAUCCAUAGGUUAAUGAGGCGAACCGGGGGAACUGAAACAUCUAAGUACCCCGAGGAAAAGAAAUCAACCGAGAUUCCCCCAGUAGCGGCGAGCGAACGGGGAGCAGCCCAGAGCCUGAAUCAGUGUGUGUGUUAGUGGAAGCGUCUGGAAAGGCGCGCGAUACAGGGUGACAGCCCCGUACACAAAAAUGCACAUGCUGUGAGCUCGAUGAGUAGGGCGGGACACGUGGUAUCCUGUCUGAAUAUGGGGGGACCAUCCUCCAAGGCUAAAUACUCCUGACUGACCGAUAGUGAACCAGUACCGUGAGGGAAAGGCGAAAAGAACCCCGGCGAGGGGAGUGAAAAAGAACCUGAAACCGU